rnacentral:rRNA from 1 species
CCUACGGGUGGCAGCAGUGGGGAAUAUUGGACAAUGGGGGGAACCCUGAUCCAGCCAUGCCGCGUGUGUGAAGAAGGCCCUCGGGUUGUAAAGCACUUUCAGUGAGGAAGAACGCCUGGUGGUUAAUACCCAUCAGGAAAGACAUCACUCACAGAAGAAGCACCGGCUAACUCCGUGCCAGCAGCCGCGGUAAUACGGAGGGUGCGAGCGUUAAUCGGAAUUACUGGGCGUAAAGCGCGCGUAGGUGGCUUGAUAAGCCGGUUGUGAAGGCCCCGGGCUCAACCUGGGAACGGCAUCCGGAACUGUCAAGCUAGAGUGCAGGAGAGGAAGGUAGAAUUCCCGGUGUAGCGGUGAAAUGCGUAGAGAUCGGGAGGAAUACCAGUGGCGAAGGCGGCCUUCUGGACUGACACUGACACUGAGGUGCGAAAGCGUGGGUAGCAAACAGGAUUAGAUACCCGUGUAGUC